AAGGAUUCCCCUCAGUGGGUAAAACUAAAGUGGUAAAAUCCUCAUGUGAUAUACUGGAAGGAAGGUCUUUAUCUUGAGUGAUAAAGAUGAGGAAUAGAAAUAUGCAAAGAAAUUCACAAUUUUGGUUGAAUUCAGAAAAAUUCAACCAAUUACAUUUCUCCCAACGCAUCAACUUUAUCUAAUCAUUGCAAUUCUGAACCAGUUCCACCAUCACUCUGUCUCCACCAAUCAGAGGCUCAAACAUAAACAACAUGGAAUCCAAGAUGGCCGCUCCAGCAUGUCACCUCUCAGAGGCCUCGGCUCAAUCCAACCAAAAUCCCUGGGAUUUUAGGCCAUCCAUCCGGAAUGUUUCGUCGCUCGUGGUAAAGCGCAGAUUUCUGAAUUUACUGGAGGGUUAUUUACAAACAAAGUUGGAUCUACAUUGAAAGAGAUCUGAGGGAUCCCAGAGAGAACAUUGUGGGUAAAUAAGGGUAAAAAAAAAAAGAACAAACUGGAACUUUGAUCCACUUGAAGACUAUUUCUGCAAAAGACAAAGGCAACAAAAAAACUGGAACGUUUUCUCAGAUGACAUCACCGAAACAACAAACAAACAUCAUGAGCUCCAUGGAUGAAAUAAAAGACUAAAGGAAACUAAACUACAGACGAGACCAAAGGAUUCAUGAUCUGGAACCAAGAACUCAUCUCUGUUGGAUUAAAGAUAAAAGAUCGCCACUAUAGCCAGACUAAAUGAAGACUUUUGGAGUAAUUGCUGUUUGGAUCAGAGGAGAUGGAACAUCAAAAGGUGAAGAUUCUUUAUGACUACUGGGAGGCGGCCUGAAGGAGUCGGGAUCGUGUCUUUAAUCGAGUCUGUGACUGCAGCGACAGACACGGAGCUCCACCACGAGUGAACUCCAAACUCCUUCCUGGAUCGGGGACUCCUCUCCCCCAGAUGUCGGUGGUGAUUUGGCCUAUCUUCAGCGGCAGAUGGAUUCUUCUCAGAUAUGGGAGCUCACCCGAAAAAACUGUUAAGCCAACCAAUCACACGAUUUAUCUCGGCCAUCUCUGAAGGAGAGCAGAGACUUCAACGGCGUGGAAGAACUGGAGAUAAAGUCCAAAAGCUGGACAGUAUUUUAGUUAUUUUCUCAUUAUCAUUUAAAAACGUUCCGUUUUACUGAAGUCUACGUUGGUAAAGUUAGAACAUCUUGUUUUGUCUCUGCACAUAAAGUAUUCAUGUGUUUUAACUGACUAACAGUCGGUGCAGCCGAUCUAUCAGACGUUACACGGAUCCUCAACUGUUUUUGUUGGUUCUCCUGAGGCACAUGUUUAAGAGCUGGAUGCAUUUUUUAUAAAAUAGACAUUAUUUUGCAGACGGCACACGAGAGGCAGUUUACUCCGUCGGUUUUAUCUGACACAGUUGUCUUCCUUUCGUUCAGACCCUGAAGGGCUCUCUGCAGAUUAACACCUCUGUUAUUGCGGCUCAGCCCGACAAUUCUCACAACUGACUUUCUGGACUCUGAUUUCCAGUUUGUAUUAUCAUGUUUGUGGUCUUCGG